GCUUAAAAAGCAAGGAAAGUGAAGUAGAAGAAGAGCAGUACUUGACAUUGGUGAUUCUAGAGAGAGGAGGAUAUAAAGAGCAUAUUUCUCUCUGAUGGAGAGAUGAUGUUUGCUAUAUCAGAGCGUUCUCUCAAGGGUUCCUCAGAGUACCAGGCUCAGGUUCGCUGUAAUGUGAGCGCAACCAGACGUUCAGGAUGGCGUUACACCGGAUAUCCCUCAGAGUGGACCGACCCCGUCUACUGGAUCACACGGCCUGAGCCUCUUGCACCAAAUCUGGUUGCAUUUCUCCUGUAUUUCCUCAUUGUGACCCUCGCGUCAGCUGUCUCUAUCACAGUUUUCAUCAUUCUAGUUGUUCUUCAGAGAAGACUGAAAGAAUGGGACAUGUCUCUUCCCUCUCCUGUCCACAGCAAAGUCUCAGAGGUGUCACAGGAUCCUCAGAUGGACCACUUACCCUGCUGUACAGAACUGAAGGAUCCAGAAAUCAGCAACGCUCAGAUUGUAGAUGUCCAUCAGCAGUUGUCCUCAUUUGAAUCAAAAAAUACCUUGACCACUGAUGGAAACGACCACUGCCUAGAAAUUGAGGGCGAUCGAGUGGUUUUGCAUGUUGACGAUCCAUGCCUUGAGUCCUUGUGUUCCUCUGGAAAUGUGAUGGGAAUAGGUGGUACAUUCCAGCCUUGUACCUCCAACUUCAAUGACCCAGUCCUCCCAUGUUCAGAGGGAUACUUGCAGAAUCCUGCAACUUCUUUCAGCACUAACCAGGAUGCUUUGCAAGAGGAUUGCUCUCUGAAUGAUGGGUACGUGAAUUGCCCUGAGCCUGAUUUGAACAGAAGGACAAAUCCUCAUUUGGUCCAUACAUCAGAUUUAAACACAAAUGUUUUCCGUCUACCUUCUCCAGGAAGUUCUUCAGGAAGAUGUUGUGCAGAAUAAUACACCACUAUGAGUGGUGUAUUAUUCUGCAUAUUUUUAAUUCAUCUUCAAGAAUACAAACAUGUACAAGGACACUAAACAGAGGAAAUUCUGGCAGUGACCACCAGAGGGUAGUAUAGUACUACAUUAUCUACUGUAUUUUGAGACUUUGGUUGAAGCCAGAGGUGUCCAAUCUUGCUCUUGGAGGGCCACAGUCCUUGUGUUUAACUCUGGCCCUGAUUUAACACAUCUGAACCAGCUAAUCAAUAUCUUCAGAAUUACUAGGAGCCUCCAAGUGUGUGAAUGCACAUUGGAGCUAAAAGCAUUCGAGGAGCGUGAUUGGACACCCCAUAAGCCUUGGUGCGCAUUAAUGUUUCACUCAUUGAAAUGUAGUUGUCUGCAGUCAAAAAAUAAGUAAUUUUAAUCUUUGAUAUUGUGUGUUUUAUAACUACUAAAUGUUUCCCUCAGUACCUGUAUGACGGUAAAAUCACAAAUUUGAUAUUAUUUCUCAUAGACAGCAAUGAUAUUAAAUGAAGAGCACAUGACAUCUCCUGUUUCUCCUGAUUUUUCUCCCGAGCAAAAUACUUUACUUAUUCCUAAUUGUGUCUGCUCUAAAGGCCCCACACUGUUUACAACAAAAUUCGAAAUCCCCUUUACUUUUGACAGUUGUUUAAAUCCAUUAUCCAUUAUGUAAUUUAUUUACAGGAUAAGGAUUAAGAAAAAGGAUUUUUUAUAAAAAUAUUUUUACUCACAAUUACUCUAUAAAAUCACCACCUUGGAAUAUAAGGUCCUGCAUUCUGAGCAGUUUUGAGAUAUUGAGCUUCAGUUUAUUUUUUAUUUUUUAUUUC